AACCUGUAAUCCUAUCUCUAAGCCACCAGGAAGUUUUAAUAUCACUUUUCGCGCAUGUUUUUUUUUCUUUCUUCGUUUCCCCCCCCUUUCACUAUUUUUACAUGAAUAGCCACCAGUGGAUCUCAUUCAGUAUAAAGUUUGUCUGUAAUGGGGUUAAGUGUCGUUUUAAAUUAAUGUCAAACGCUGCAUUCUGUCAGUUUAGAAAUCAGUUCUGAGCUGCGACAGAACGAUUAGCCUAACAAGGAGCAGUCCCGCCUUUCAUCUUUUUUACUCAGAUUUUAUUUAACUUUUUUUUACUAGCGAUAUGAAGAUAAUCGUUUUACUAUUAUUAUUACUACACAUGCACGGUGUGUCAGGUGCUGAGACAGAUGCAAUAGAGUCAGUAUCAGUGAUGGAGGGAGAUUCAGUCACUCUACAUUGUGAAAUACAGACAGACGAUCUGAAAGUGUGGAGUUUUGGACCUGACGAUACUGUCAUAGUUAUGAACUCUGAAAUUAGGAUGUUUAGAGACAGAUUGCUGGUGGACCAAUCGACUGGAUCUCUUACCAUCAAGAACGUCACAUCUAAUUUUUCUGGAAUAUAUAAAUUAAAUAUUGUCAGGAAGAGCUCAUACAAGACAUUUAAUGUUACUGUCUAUGCUCCUCUGCCUGUUCCUGUCAUCAGCAGUAAAUCUUCACAAUGUUCUUCAUCAUCAUCAUCAUGUUCAUUGGUGUGUUCAGCUGUGAAUGUGGGUCAUGUGACUCUCUCCUGGUACAAAGGAAACAGUUUAUUGUCCAGCAUCAGUGUGUCUGAUCUCAGCAUCAGUCUCUCUCUACCUCUGGAGGUGGAAUAUCAGGAUAAAAACACCUACAGCUGUGUGCUGAACAAUCCCAUCAGAAACCAGACUCAACAUCUGGACAUCACUCAACUCUGUCACACAUGUUCAACACCCUUAGGUGUUAUAGUGGGGGGAUGUGUUGGUGCCCUCCUGUUAGUUGGGGGAGUUGCUGUGGUUUAUUGCUUCAUUAAAAAGCGAAAAGGAAGAGAGCAAGCUCCUGAGCCACAAGCUAUUCCACUAAACAAUGGUCGAGAAGUUAAAGAAGGUCAUAAUAACCCAAAUAAUGCAGGUCUGGAAAUGCCCUGUUCUGGAGAGAGCUUUACCAAACAGUCAGGAAGAGUGUCAUCCACUUAUUGAUGGUCCAGUUCUUAGGGACGAAGUUGAUAACCCAAAUAAUGCAGAUCUGGAAAUGCCUGAUCAGGAGAGAGAUUUAUCAAACUGUGAUGAGGAAUGUCAUCCACUUCAAGACCCUCCACUCAAAGAAAUCAGGACAGAAGUGGUUGAAAGUGGACAAAAGAGACGGAUUAAAAUACCAGGUGUAAACAGGGCCUUAGUCACAUAAAAUUCAGUUGCAUACCACCUAUACAUGUUUAAUUCCUAUCUUGAAAAAAUUAUUUUUUUUCCCUCCAGAUUUGUUUCAUGAUGGGAAGGAUAAAAUGAAGAAAAUAAAAGUGGAGCCAGGAGAAACUGUCACUCUAAAAUCUGGUGUUACUGACAUUCAGAGAAAUGAUCGGCUACGGUGGAAAUAUGCUGAUCGCAGAAUGACUGAUUCCACAACCUUAUUUAGUGUCAUAGCUGUAUGCAAUAAAAUGAACAAUAGGUUCUCAUUAAGGGAUGGUCCUGGUGGAAAAUUCAAAGACAGACUGACGCUGGACCAUCAGACUGGAAAUCUCACUAUCAAGAACAUGAGAGUCAAAGACUCUGGGCAUUUUAAACUAGAGAUCUACAGCAACACAAAUCCUCUUACGAAAACCAUCAAAGUCAAUGUCCGUGCUUCCACACAAAAGAAAAAGGAUGAUCCAAAUGAGACAGAUUUGUCCUUGAUACCAGACGAGGACCCCAACAACACCACUACAUAUACUGUGCAGCCAACGGACCCUUUAUCUAAUGAGGAUGAGGAGUCUGGUGGGGAACGGUGACACAAUUUCACAUGAUAAUGCCAGUAUGGCAGAUGUAGUCUGUAUGGAUUGUAUUCAUACUACAUGCAUACUCACUUUUUAAAUGGUAAAUGAUUCAGCAAAAACUGGCGCACUUUGUGUUGAUGAGCUAAAAGUUCAUUUGAUUUGGCACUACUAGGACUACAUACUUAUUAACUGACAAAAUAUUUAGCUAAACAUAGUGCUAAAAACACACAAAGUAUAAUUUCAAUACAUAUUUUCAAUAUGCUAAUCUCUGGACCAAAAUGACUCAAAAUGCCAGUCCCAAAACAUUUAUGAACUUUGUAUUGUACAUAAACAGUAUCAGGGUUUAUUUGUAUCAUACAUAAUAAAUUGAGAGUGACAUAUUGCCAUUAAAGUUUGUGUAAAUAUUUGUGAGCAUGUUGUGAUAUACUGAGUUUUUAAUAUUCAUUCAUAUCAUAUUUUAAUAUUCAGUCCAGUGUUUUUUUACAUACUGUGAUGUUUGAGAAGCUCUUUGUAAAUUCACUGUGAAAACACUCUGUAUUUUGAAAUAUUAAAUCAUUUUUUUUUUUUCGACUAAUAAAACUUCAUUGUAAAAACGCUAGUUGGAAGAGCAAAAAUAUCUACGUUGAACUGGUAUUCUUGCUUGGGCUUAGUUAAGAAAAAAUAUUCUAUUAAGUCUGUAAAAAUAUAUUUGAAAAAACAUUAAAGUAAGGGUAAUUUUCAGAUCCAGUGAACAUUCAGAAUGGCUAAUCCAGCCAAUAUUUGAUUAAAGUAUCAAGGCCACACUCACACCUAAACUGUCUUAUCUAAAAACAUAUGUUUUCAAAAAUUAACAUAACUGCUUCAAAAUUAGCAUUUUCAGUGUGGGUGUGUGUAAUUCACAUUGUAGAACAAAACGUCAAAGUAUCAAGUUAUGUUUACCACAGGUCUUAUUUUACUCAUAAAUUUAAAAAGCCCAUUAUAAAACCCCUAUAGGAAAGUCUUGGCGAGAACCAGAAACCAUCCCUGCACCUCUCUAUAGAAACUUUAAUCUAUAAAAGUUCAUUUGUGAGCUUACACUCUUCAGUUUUAAAGAGUUACAGGGGCUUGUUUAGUCAGUAAAUACGUUUAAAAUAAAUUGUGCAGUAUUGCAAUGUUUGUUAACUGGAGCAAUAACCUGUAUAUGUUUAAUUUGUAUGAAAAUGUUAUAAAUGAAGAUUGUUAUGAAAUAAAGGCUAAUAUGCAUUUUCA